AAAUUGAAGAGUUUGAUCAUGGCUCAGAUUGAACGCUGGCGGCAGGCCUAACACAUGCAAGUCGAGCGGUAGCACAGAGAGCUUGCUCUCGGGUGACGAGCGGCGGACGGGUGAGUAAUGUCUGGGAAACUGCCUGAUGGAGGGGGAUAACUACUGGAAACGGUAGCUAAUACCGCAUAAUGUCGCAAGACCAAAGUGGGGGACCUUCGGGCCUCAUGCCAUCAGAUGUGCCCAGAUGGGAUUAGCUAGUAGGUGGGGUAACGGCUCACCUAGGCGACGAUCCCUAGCUGGUCUGAGAGGAUGACCAGCCACACUGGAACUGAGACACGGUCCAGACUCCUACGGGAGGCAGCAGUGGGGAAUAUUGCACAAUGGGCGCAAGCCUGAUGCAGCCAUGCCGCGUGUGUGAAGAAGGCCUUCGGGUUGUAAAGCACUUUCAGCGGGGAGGAAGGCGUUAAGGUUAAUAACCUUGGCGAUUGACGUUACCCGCAGAAGAAGCACCGGCUAACUCCGUGCCAGCAGCCGCGGUAAUACGGAGGGUGCAAGCGUUAAUCGGAAUUACUGGGCGUAAAGCGCACGCAGGCGGUCUGUCAAGUCGGAUGUGAAAUCCCCGGGCUUAACCUGGGAACUGCAUUCGAAACUGGCAGGCUAGAGUCUUGUAGAGGGGGGUAGAAUUCCAGGUGUAGCGGUGAAAUGCGUAGAGAUCUGGAGGAAUACCGGUGGCGAAGGCGGCCCCCUGGACAAAGACUGACGCUCAGGUGCGAAAGCGUGGGGAGCAAACAGGAUUAGAUACCCUGGUAGUCCACGCCGUAAACGAUGUCGAUUUGGAGGUUGUGCCCUUGAGGCGUGGCUUCCGGAGCUAACGCGUUAAAUCGACCGCCUGGGGAGUACGGCCGCAAGGUUAAAACUCAAAUGAAUUGACGGGGGCCCGCACAAGCGGUGGAGCAUGUGGUUUAAUUCGAUGCAACGCGAAGAACCUUACCUGGUCUUGACAUCCACAGAACUUUCCAGAGAUGGAUUGGUGCCUUCGGGAACUGUGAGACAGGUGCUGCAUGGCUGUCGUCAGCUCGUGUUGUGAAAUGUUGGGUUAAGUCCCGCAACGAGCGCAACCCUUAUCCUUUGUUGCCAGCGGUUCGGCCGGGAACUCAAAGGAGACUGCCAGUGAUAAACUGGAGGAAGGUGGGGAUGACGUCAAGUCAUCAUGGCCCUUACGACCAGGGCUACACACGUGCUACAAUGGCAUAUACAAAGAGAAGCGACCUCGCGAGAGCAAGCGGACCUCAUAAAGUAUGUCGUAGUCCGGAUUGGAGUCUGCAACUCGACUCCAUGAAGUCGGAAUCGCUAGUAAUCGUAGAUCAGAAUGCUACGGUGAAUACGUUCCCGGGCCUUGUACACACCGCCCGUCACACCAUGGGAGUGGGUUGCAAAAGAAGUAGGUAGCUUAACCUUCGGGAGGGCGCUUACCACUUUGUGAUUCAUGACUGGGGUGAAGUCGUAACAAGGUAACCGUAGGGGAACCUGCGGUUGGAUCACCUCCUUA
rnacentral:rRNA from 1 species